rnacentral:rRNA from 1 species
GACGAACGCUGGCGGCGUGCCUAACACAUGCAAGUCGAACGGAAAGGCCCUGCUUUUGUGGGGUGCUCGAGUGGCGAACGGGUGAGUAACACGUGAGUAACCUGCCCUUGACUUUGGGAUAACUUCAGGAAACUGGGGCUAAUACCGGAUAGGAGCUCCUGCUGCAUGGUGGGGGUUGGAAAGUUUCGGCGGUUGGGGAUGGACUCGCGGCUUAUCAGCUUGUUGGUGGGGUAGUGGCUUACCAAGGCUUUGACGGGUAGCCGGCCUGAGAGGGUGACCGGCCACAUUGGGACUGAGAUACGGCCCAGACUCCUACGGGAGGCAGCAGUGGGGAAUAUUGCACAAUGGGCGGAAGCCUGACGCAGCAACGCCGCGUGCGGGAUGACGGCCUUCGGGUUGUAAACCGCUUUCGCCUGUGACGAAGCGUGAGUGACGGUAAUGGGUAAAGAAGCACCGGCUAACUACGUG